rnacentral:rRNA from 1 species
UUGGGGAGCUUGCUCCCCAUGAGAGUGGCGCACGGGUGCGUAACACGUAUGUAACCUACCCAUAUCAGGGGGAUAGCCUCUCGAAAGAGAGAUUAAGCCCGCAUAAAAUCACAAGGUGGCAUCACCAAAUGAUCAAAUAUUUAUAGGAUACGGAUGGGCAUGCGGAACAUUAGCUAGUUGGUAAGGUAACGGCUUACCAAGGCUACGAUGUUUAGGGGAUCUGAGAGGAUGACCCCCCACACUGGUACUGAGACACGGACCAGACUCCUACGGGAGGCAGCAGUAAGGAAUAUUGGUCAAUGGGCGCAAGCCUGAACCAGCCAUGCCGCGUGCAGGAAGACGGCCCUACGGGUUGUAAACUGCUUUUAUACGGGAAUAAACCUCACUACGUGUAGUGAGCUGAAUGUACUGUAAGAAUAAGGAUCGGCUAACUCCGUGCCAGCAGCCGCGGUAAUACGGAGGAUCCGAGCGUUAUCCGGAUUUAUUGGGUUUAAAGGGUGCGUAGGCGGCCUAUUAAGUCAGGGGUGAAAGACGGUAGCUUAACUAUCGCAGUGCCUUUGAUACUGAUAGGCUUGAAUAUACUUGAGGUAGGCGGAAUGUGACAAGUAGCGGUGAAAUGCAUAGAUAUGUCACAGAACACCAAUUGCGAAGGCAGCUUACUAAAGUAUGAUUGACGCUGAGGCACGAAAGCGUGGGGAUCAAACAGGAUUAGAUACCCUGGUAGUCC